rnacentral:lncRNA from 1 species
CACUCCCCCCUAAAUCGUCAAUAGGGGAGUUUUAUACUUUUUUUUUAUUUUUUUUCUCCCCUAAAUUGGCAACCGAAGAUUUUUUGAUUUUUUUUAACUUGUGAGAGUUAUAUUAUUAGUUUUAGGGUUUAAUUUUUCAAACACAAAUCCUAACAACACACAACGUAAUAAACUUUGUCAACUCUAACCCUAAUAACAUAACAUAAUAAUGAAAAACACACAUAAUAUAUUAUUAGUUUUAUAAUGUGUGUUUUCAUUAUUGUGUUCCGUUAUUAGGGUUAGAGUUGACAAAGUUUAUUACGUUGUGUGUUGUUAGGAUUUGUGUUUGAAAAAUUAAACCCUAAAACUAAUAAUAUAACUUCCACAAGUUAAAAAAAAAAAAAUCUCUGGUUGCCGAUUUAGGGGAGAAAAAAAAUAAAAUAAAAAAUAAAAAAAAGUAUAAAACUCCCCCUAUUGACGAUUUAGGGGGAGUGUAAAAAAAAUAUACUUUACUAAAACUCCCUCCCCAGUGCUGAUUUUGGGGAGGAGAGAGAGAAAAAAAUACGUAAAUCGGCAAUGGAGUUGCCGAUUUCUAUAAAUUUACACUAGUUUUGUAAUAUUUUUAAAAGGUGCACCAAAACCGAAAUUUUUUGGUCAAGGAUAAUUAAAUUUAAGUACUCUACAGAAAAAAGUUAAAAAAAAUGCAAGUGUAUGAGGCUUCAACUAAUUAAUUUGGAUGGGUAUAUAUAUAUAUAUACAACCUCACUCUUAUAAGUAGAAAAAUUAUUUCUAAUAUUUAAACUUAUGUUCACUUUCUCACCAAGAACCAAUUAGGCUAAGACUCAUCCUUCAGCCUCUUUAAAAGUUGAAGGGGAAAAUUGUACUAAGAAAAGUUUAGUGGAAAAAUUAAGCCUAUAAGAACUAAUUGACUCUUUCGUCCUAUGUAAAGUGCAUUUUACCCUUCCACACUUUUUCAUUGCUUGGUCGGAAAGAAAAAAACAAAGAGAAUGAAAAUAUGAUUGUGUCAAUUGAAAUGUUAUACCGAACAUAUUAAACAUUUUUUAUAAAAUGGAAGCAACUUUUAGAGAAAAUGGUUGAGUGAGUAUAGUGCAUUGGAUGCAUGCAUACGUGUGUGUAUAGUGCAUUGUGAUGAUGACAAUGACAAAGAUUCAAAACCACGUGUCGAAUCAUUCAUUAAUUAACCAAACUGAAGAAACCGUCCAGGUGAAUCCUUUGUUUUUUCAACUCAAAAAUUCUCAGCCUUAGAAAAUGUGUCUGGUUAAGGUUCUCCAUUCACACACACCCUUCAAAAUCCCACCUUCAAAUCAAAACACCAAAUGCGUCUUACACUACAACACUUGCUAAAUUUCCAAUUUUGAAGGAUACCCACGAUUCCUUGCUUGGUUUUAUUUAGUGGGAAUCUUUCAAAAUCUGAAAUUGCAACCAUUAUUUUGGACAUAAUAUUUUUCAUCUGGGGUGUGUAUUAGGAAAAUUUGUUUUUUUAUUAAGCUAAAAUUUCCAAUUUUGUAGGAUACCCACGAUUCCUUCCUUGAUUUUAUUUAGUGGAUAUCUUUCAAAAUCUGAACUUAGCUUCAUCUGAAGAUGGUGGGUGCUUUAUUAUCUGUUGUAGUGGAUUGUUACACUUAUCCAUGUUUGUGCGUGGAUACUAUGGCAACAACCAGUGUGAAUCUGAAUAAGCAUUUAGUGAGGCGUGGUGGAACCAUAGAACUAAGCAGUUCCUUCGUUGAACCUGUGAGGGAGUGGCGCAAGUUAUGUGUUAAUAGAAGCUUCAAGAACAAACAGCGCAGAGAUUAUCAUCGAAGAGUUCCGAUUGUGAACGAGCUUGGUGGCCAGUAUGAUGACACUUUUGAUGAUGUUAAAACGGUAAACAUACUCCUCUCUAAUUUACCUUUUUAUACAUGUGCAUAUGGAUGUCUAUUUUCUAUCUCGAGCCAAUCAAAAUGUUACUUUGUUGUUUUUUCAUGUGACAAUAUGUGAUUGGUCUGGAGCAAAGAAUUAGACACUGUUAGGAACAGAUAAAGUGGCUUGGAUUGGACAAUGACAAGAAUUGAGUAAUCAUAAAACAAAUUAAAUGAGAUUUGGUCAAUUGAAUUCAACAUUAAUCAAUUGUGUUCUAAAUAGGUCUGAUUGCACCAAAUUCCAAAAUGAAUUGAUCCAAACAUGACAGCAACACCACAAGUACUUAAACAAUAAUGUUGCUGUUCUGCCUUUUGAAUAUAAGCUAAAGUUCUUGGUGAUUAGUCAAUCCUUAAAUGAGUCUCAAGCUUAUAAAAUAGUUGAAGAGAUUGUUGUACAGUCACUGGUUAGAGCCUUUUGAUACUGCAUCAUCUUUCAUUUUUUUAAAUGUCAGUUAUUGUAGGGUAAAUCUAUCCCUAGAUCAAUCAAUGGGUUGAGUUAUUUAUGCACUUUAUCAUAUCAAAGGUAGCUAUACCCUUUCUCCUUUGCUUAACCAUUUCUCACCUUUAAUCCUUAUAUUACAUUACAUACACAAAUCAUCAUUAAAUGCACGUGUUUGGAAGAUAUGCAUAAUUGAUUUAAAAUAUAUUCACAUAAAUUUAAGAUUGUUUCUAAGUUUUGAAGCCACGAGUUCAAAUUUUGAAAAAAAUCUCACAUUUAGCAUGCACUAUUACAGCUUAUGUAUCAUGGUAUAUAUCCUUGUCAAUGGAUGAUCUUUAUCUUUAAAUCAGCAACUCAUUUAAGAUGUAUGAAGCCAGCAUCAUCAUUUUCAUGAAAUAGUGGAUCUUUGAUUUUAAUCCACUAACUAUUUUUGUUUUGGAUACAGCAAAUACUGAACUAUUUCACAUACAAGGCUGUGAGGACUGUUCUUCUGCAAUUGUAUGAGAUGAACCCACCUCAAUAUAGGUUAUUAUAUAAGUAAGUGAAGUUCAUGUUGUAGCAAGUAUUUAUUUGGAUGUUAGUACAUGCAUUUUCAUGAUAAAGUUGAUUAUUCUUUUUGUCAUGGUUGCAGUUUCCUUGCAACAAACAACCCCACAGAAGGGAAACGUUUUAUACGAUCCCUUGCCAAGGUAGUCUUCAGUACCCUAGUUCCUACAAUUCUGAAAACAAUCAUAUAUUUAACUAUAAAAAAAUGCUAUACUCAAACUCAACAUUUCAGAGGCAUAUCAGAGUUGUUACUAUAAGCUCAUUCUAUUGUCCAUUUUCUCAACUAGACUUCUCUCGAGUAAUAGAAAAAAAGAAAUUUCUUUUUUCUUUUUUAAUUUUAAGGAUAAAAUUGUAAUCUGGAUGAUAUUGUAUUUUCUUGAUAGGAGCAACAAGGUCUCGCCGAAAGAGUGAUGGUAACAAGGCUUCACCUUUAUGGUAAAUGGGCCAAGGUAUUGUAACUCAACUUGUCAUUUUCUCAAAUUGGUCCUACCAAUUUAUUUAUUUAUAUAUUUAUUCAAAGUAUAUAAAUAUAUAUAUAAAACUUGUUGGACAGGACAAAAACAAAAGUUAGAAUUCAAAUUGAAAAUGUGUAAGAGUGUUCCUUUUGUUUUUGUUUAAUAUCCAAGGCACAUGAAAAUAUUUUGUGAAGUUAUAUAACCUUUGUCCAUUUAUAUAUAUAUGUAUGCAGAAAUGUAAUCAUGGUGAGAUAUAUAAAGAAAUCUCAGAUGAAAACUUGGAGCUGAUGAGGGAAAGACUCAUGGAAACUGUAAUAUGGCCCUCAGAUGACACAAACACAGAAAAAGUGGGCUGAUAAAAAAAACAUCAUUUUUCAUCUCUUCAUAGUCUUGCUAUAAUUUUGGUUUUCAUGCCAAUCUCUUUCUUUCAAAAUUGUUAUCUCUGACAUUUUUCCCUUAUAGGAUUGUUAGUGUCUUAGUAUUAUUACAUUCAGUAAAUUCUGUAAAUUGCUUUGCCUUUUUAAUGGCAAGGACCCAUAUACUUAAUGUGUUGAUGGUACACAAAACCAAUAUUUGUGAAUAACCCUACAAAAAGUAAAUACUACUUAAUGUAAACAAUGAGAAAAUGAGACUUUAAGGGUAGAGCGGUUAAUGAGAAAGUAAUUACUAACAGUAUCUCCUCUUCAAGUUUUGAGUAAAGAACUAAUCUUUUUGGAGUGUGUGAUUAUCCCUCCUAACAAAUAUCAGUUUAUAUGAAUUGAACUAUUAAUCUUUUAAUUAUCUUAUGAUCUAAUGGAACUUUACACCACUAGACUAAUAAGUUAUUGAUAAUUAAUACUUAACAUAACAAUUCAAAAUAUCUGAGGAGUAAAUAUAAUUAGCAAACAUGUAAAUAUAAUUUCCUUAUGCAAGAUUUUCAAGUACUCAAUAUUUUUCUUAUACACAUUAGUUUCUAUUAUUAUUUAAUUUUUUAAUGUAAUCACUUUGUCAAGAAAUUAAUUCAACAAUGCCAUUCAUAAAAAAUUAGUAAUUUUUUCACGAAAAUUAGUAAUUUUAUAUUGGAGACCCUUUCAACUCUCCCCUUUUCAUUUCCUUAAUUUUUUGAUAAACCUUUGAGCUCUCCUAGGGUUAACCGACAUUAAACUAUUUUAAUGUAAAAUAAUGGUAAUAAUAUUAGGAAUCUUGAAAAGGAAGGAUGUCUUAUUUUUACUUUUAAUUAAUUAAAAGUUUAAUAUUUAUCUAUCGUUAUUAUAAAGAUUUAUACAUAAUCAAUAGUCUUUAAUAGUCAAUAAUAAUUAAAAAUAAAUGUUAAUAAUAAAAGGAGGAAUAUCUAAUAUAAAUGUUAAUAAUAGAUAGAGAUAGAGAUAGAUAUGGUGUGUAUCUUGUGUAAUGUUGCUUAAACAUUUAAAGUAAAUGGAAAAGAGGAAUUCAUCAUAUUAAUUUCCGACACCCAUUAUUAGUAUUAUUUCAUCCCUUUCACUCUACUUCUUCUAUUUCAGUGCUCACUCGCUUACUUCUCUCUCUCUCUCUAUAUAUAUAUAUAUAUAUAUGUGUAUAUAUAUAUGCAACCCAUUACUCUUGUUUUUCUAAAGAUCGCAACUUUACAUCUGGGUGGUCAGAAUCUCAAUUACUCUCUUUUCUUCUACUUAUUCAUUAUCUUUCUUUCAAAUUUUGCUAUUCUAUAAUUUUUGUUUUCCUUUAUUGAUUGUGAAAUUGAAGUUGAUUGUUAUUUAAUCAUGUUCAUGCAUAUGGGGUUCUCAAUUUUAAAUUUAUGGUUCAUUUUCUUAUGAUUAAAGUCUUUGCAGGUCUGAGUUAUUUGUGAAGGGAAAUGAGAAUAAUUUGUGUGGAGAGUUUUUGGACUUUAUGGUUCAUUUUUUUAUAACUGAAGUUUCAAGCUUGGAUUAUUUUUGGAGAAAAAAAAAGUAUAAUAACAGUUUGUGUGGAGUUUUUUAAUAUGCUUGUCAUAGAUUCUUAUAAGUUUUACUUGUUGACUCCCUAACACCCCCUAUUAACAUCAAACACACAUAGAAAGUGACAUUGUGGAAUGCUUCGAGUGUCAUGUGAUUGGGACUGAAUGUUAGACGAUAAUGUCAACUAGAGAAUAAACUCAAUGUAGUAGAGAUGAAACUAUUGGGUUGGAUGAGUGGCUGGACAAGAUAGGAUUAAUAAUGAAUGCAUUAGAAAGAAUUCCGGGGUAGCUCCUAUUGUAGAAAUGAUGAUAGAGUUGUGUCUGUUUGGACAUGUGUGGAGGAGAUCGUUAGAAGCCCUAGUAAGAAGAGUAAUCAAAUAGAGGUCAGCCCAAUUUAUAGAGACAAAGGGAGGCCAAACAAAUCAUAGGCAAAACGAUUAUAAAAUACUUAGAAAGUGAUGCUUUUCAAUAGAUAUGAUUUAUGACAGAGCAAUAUGGUGUCAUUCGAUCCAUGUAGCUGACCCAUCUAAUGAGACCAAGGUUUGAUUUUUGGUUGUUGAAUUGUUAUAUGUUUGUAGCCACGGUUGAUUGGUAAAUGGAAUUGUUUGUUAAUCAUGCAUAUGAAGUUCUGAAAUUUCAUUAUAUGAUUUUCAUUUUGUAUAAUUGGAAUAUUUGUAGGUGUGAUUUGGGAAGGGAAAUGUGAAGAACUUGCUAAGCUUGAAAAAAUUUGGUCUUUUGUUUGCUGUGAACUUUGUUAUGAUGGAAUUCCCUACCGUUCCUCAUUUGACGCGAGUCUGCACUCUUUUGUUGCUUAUACUACUAAUGAAGAGUGAUAUUGCCGUAUAUUCCAAUUCUGAUUACUUGAUCGGUCUUGGAAGCUAUGAUAUAACAGGUCCUGCAGCUGAUGUUAACAUGAUGGGGUAUGCUAACACAGAACAAGUUGCAUCUGGUGUUCACUUAAGGCUGCGGUCUCGCGCUUUCAUUGUUGCCGAACCACAUGGUAACCGCGUAGUGUUUGUGAAUCUUGAUGCUUGUAUGGCUUCACAGCUUGUGACUAUCAAAGUACUUGAGAGGCUUAAAGCAAGGUACCAAUGAUGACUAUGAAUGUCUUGGGAUUAGCUGCUACAGUGAAUAAUUGAUUAUUUUUUAAAUUAUGAUAAAACUAGUUUUAUGUUUGGAUAUGUUUGCUGAUAAGUGAUUUUAAGAUGCUUGUUUUGUGUGAGUUGUGUAAAAAAAUCACUCCUACAUUGUAAAUUGCAAAGAGUGGUGUGAAUUUGUUUGUAUAGAUUAAUAAUAUAUGUUUGGUAAUAGGUUUUGCUGGGCGAAAUGAAAAUAAGAUUGAAACUUCCAGCUUUUCUAAAAAUCACUUUUUUUUAUUUAAUAAAAACUAUUUUUUUAAUUUGAGAGGGUAAGCUUGGCACAACGGUAAGGUUGUUAUUUAGUGACCAUGAAAUCACGGGUUCAAGUCUUGAAAACAACCUCUCUACUUAUAGGGUAAGGCUGCAUACAUCUAUCCUUCUUAGACACUAAGUGAGAGCCUCGUGCAUUGGAUCAACUUUUUUUGCAAACAUGUCAGAUUAUACUCUAAACAACUUUCUUUUUGGAUGUACCAAACAUUCUGAAAAUGCUAAAACGUCUUUCCAAACUUGCAGAAACUAUGGUAGGUUGGACGUAAAGGAGAUUUUUCUAUAAUUUCUGCUCGUAGUGGGUGAUGUUUCCAUUUAAGAAUUUAUUUAAAAUCUCAUUAAUUCUGUGCCUGAGGUCAUGACUUUAUUUUGUCUGACAGAUAUGGUGACCUAUAUACUGAAAAUAAUGUAGCUAUUAGUGGAAUUCACACUCAUGCUGGUCCUGGGGGUUAUCUUCAAUAUGUUAUUUAUAUUGUAACAUCUCUCGGAUUUGUGCGCCAGUCAUUUGAUGCCCUUGUUGAUGGCAUUGAGAAAAGCAUUGUCAAAGCCCAUGAAAAUCUCCGCCCAGGAUCAAUAUUUGUCAAUAAGGGUAAGGAAAAGAAUUUGCAUUCUUUCUUUGUCCUUUCUCCCUUAGCCACUUAUAUACAGAUGCAACAUGCAAGCAUGCAAGUUCACAUGCAUACCUUCAAUGUUAUUUUUAAUUAUGGUAGUUUUGCAUAUUGUUGGAGCGUGUUAGGAAAGAUGAAUAUUUAUAGGAAGCAAGUUGCUUAGUUUUCCUUUACAUUUUUGGUUCAAUUGUUGUUGAUGUUUGCACCACUUUAUUUCUUUCUUUUCUUUUAGAGAUGAAAAGAUAAGGGACUUUAUAUGAGUGGCACUGACACAUGUUUACUGGAAUUAAAUACACUAACUACAAAGCCUUUUCACACUCAGUGCCUCUGUGGGAUUGGCUACUUCGACCGAACUUUACUGUCUUGUCAAAAUCCAGAUCUUCAGAGAUGCCAUCUGAUUUAAAUUAUUUCUAAUGGUUUCACUUGGUGUUUUUCUUGCUCUUCCUCUAAUUAUUGGGCUAUCUUCCAUAUGAUCAACACUUCCAUCUUAGGCUUCCUCUUUAGUUGCUUUCUAAAAUCAAUGUGAUUGCUACCAAGUGCACAAGUUGGUUAGGCAAAUAGUUUGGCCGUUAUGUGAAGUUAUUAACUUCAUUCCUCCCUUUUAUGUAUCACAUAGUUAUAAUGCACUUAUCUUGAACUUGCAGGAGAGCUCUUAGAUGCUGGUGUAAAUCGAAGUCCUAGUGGUUAUCUCAAUAAUCCUGCUGCAGAGAGAAGCAAAUAUAAAUAUAAUGUUGAUAAAGAAAUGUCUCUUCUAAAAUUUGUUGAUGCUGAAUGGGGUCCCGUGGGAAGCUUCAAUUGGUUUGCUACUCAUGGGACUUCAAUGAGUCGUACAAACUCAUUAAUUAGCGGUGACAACAAAGGUGCUGCUGCUAGAUUUAUGGAAGACUGGUUCGAGCGAAAAGGCUCUGUAAAAACAGAUUCUGUUGGAUUUCAAGAUGAUAGCAUCCCCCGAAGAAUUUCAAACAUAAUUCCCAGCCUUGGCAAAAAUCGUAAGUUUGUAUUUUGCUUUUGGCUGAAUGUAUUCAUAUAUGCAAUUACUAUUUCCUUCGAAAUAUAGAUUUACGAGACAAGAUAAUGUGGUGACAAAUGUUGGAUAUAUAAUUGCUCUAUUGUGGUUUUGAUGCUUAAAUCCAUCUAUUUCUCUUGGCUGCAUUUGAUGUGUGUACCACAUUGCUAACUGCCAAUUUUCUUUCGUAAAAUGUUCUGGAUUGUGUCAUCCAAUUACAUGGCUUAUGAUCUGGUACCUGUAAGUUUUACAAAUGUUUUCCUCAUAGUAAUCUUAAUAUUGACGGUUUUAAAUGGAAUUGUCUGCAUACAAGAUAAGAUGUAAUUAUACUAGCAAUGCUGAUUGAGCAAUCAUGUGCAAGAUACAUAAUGAUUUCUUUGUUUAUACAAGUGAUGUAAGAAGUUCAUCAGUAACCGGGGAUAUCUGAUAAUAGUGAAUUAUAUUAUUAAUCUCACUUAAAAUUUAUUGGUACAGACCACAAAUUAUUGGAAAUUGCUUCUUCAUUCCAAUCUCCUUCUGGUAGCCCAGCAACCAGAACUUCAAGUGUUGCCAGACGCGUGAGAGGUGCUAUUAGUCAGGUUGACAAGCCCAGAUUUGUAUCUGCAUUUUGUCAAUCUAAUUGUGGUGAUGUUAGUCCAAAUGUACUUGGAGCUUUUUGUACAGACACCGGACUACCUUGUGACUUCAAUCAUAGUACAUGUGGAGGGAAGAAUGAAUUAUGCUAUGGCCGUGGACCUGGGUAAUUUAGCAUGCUCAACUUUUUUCUUCUUCGGUUCAUGCAAAUUUACCAGUCUUCGUAAUUACUAAAUUUCAUCCUGUAACUAAUGUGGCAGCUACCCAGAUGAAUUUGAAAGUACACGUAUCAUAGGGGAGAGGCAAUUUCGGAAAGCAGUGGAUCUAUUCAAUGAAGCUUCUGAACAGAUUAAAGGGAAGGUUGAAUUUCGACAUACCUACAUAGAUUUCUCCAAGCUUGACGUAACUCUUUCAAAAGAAGGGGCUUCUGAGGUAGUGAAGACAUGCCCUGCUGCAAUGGGAUUCUCAUUUGCUGCUGGAACAACAGAUGGACCUGGUGCUUUUGAUUUUAAGCAGGGUGAUGCUAAGGUAACCGCUAAUUCUAUGCUUGAUGCUUAUCCAUUAUCCUAAAACUUGCAUUCUUAAAUAUUUUUCGUACUCUAUGGUCUAUGCUUAUUGUUUUACGGUUGGCUGUUAUAUGCUUAUUGUUUGUUUUAAUUCAUGACAGGGAAAUCCUUUUUGGAACUUGGUUCGUGACUUACUUAAAACACCAAACAAGGAACAAAUAGACUGUCAAUCACCGAAGCCCAUUUUGCUUGAUACUGGUGAAAUGAAGCUACCGUAUGACUGGGCAGUAAGUUACUCAUCUGUCCUUAGUAUUAUGCUUUAUAGUCUCCAGGCUCAGUUCAGUUAUAUUCUCUAUGUUUGCUGAAUGUUGAUGGCAUAGAGACUGUUCAGCAGAUUAUUUACUUCCCUUGGAGCAUUACAUACCUUGACGACUGUUUAUUUAUAAUAAUAACUCGAUCACUGCUAUUAGCUAGUUCACUUUAGUUCCUUUGAUAAAUUCAAACCACUGUUACGACGUGCAUUCUUGUUUGUUUUUGUUUUUUAUUUAUGUCUGGGUUGAAGUCCUAGUAUCUAAAUGAUGGUCUCUCUGCAUCUGUUUUCUUCAUUACAGAUAUAAUUUAUGCUAAUAAAAUGACAACUUUUACUUAACUGAAGCUUUUUUUACUCAUGUUCAUUUGCAGCCCUCAAUCCUUCCAAUCCAGAUCCUCAGAAUUGGGCAGUUUGUUAUUCUAAGUGUACCAGGAGGUAUGAGCUCAUACUCUUGUUUCUUAUAAUAACGAUUUUGCUGCUGGAAUUUCUAUUCUUCACAUUUUGAUAUGUAAGUUUAACUAUCAAGGACCUUGGUUGAAUGGGAAGUAAUAUAUGUAAAUCCAUAUUAAUGUAAAAUAAGCAUGCCUGGAUCAAGUUGUUGAACAUCUUUGAGCUUAAAAGAACAAAACCAUGUUGACCUGUUAUUGAUAUGAUGAUAUUUUGUUGCUAUGGCUUCUUGCAGUACUGGUUAUAAUUUCAUGUGUCGACUAUAAUUACUUCUGGUUUCACUUUCUUAUGUGUGUAUAAAUAUUUGUGUUAUACAGUUUUGGAAAUUCAUGGUUACUGAAUUUUUAUGAGACAUCCUGAUUGAACCUAUGUAUUUCUUUUGGUGCAUCAUGCGUUUUGUAUUUUUCUUCAUUCUGACAGAAUUUACAACAAUGGCUGGAAGGCGUCUUCGUGAUGCAGUGAUGGCAGUGUUAAGCGGCAAAAAAGAUUUUGGCAGCAACGUUCAUGUUGUCUUAGCAGGGUUGACUAAUACUUAUUCACAGUAUGUGACAACAUACGAAGAGUACCAGGUCCAAAGAUAUGAGGUCAGUUGUAUUUCUCGUGUAAAGCGACACGAAGCAUGCACACGGCGCAUUUUUAGAUUGCUAUAGCAAAAGUGCAAAUGCACCAUUCGUGGAAGUUUAGGAAGAGGCUGAUUCCACAUCUCAAACUUCUGUGACUUCCUUACACAUAUCAACAACUUUAAACAUUACGCCGAGGCUCCCUUUUUCUAAUGGUUAUGCAUAUGGGCCAAUAUACAGUCAUACAGAAAAUGUUUCUGCAUGUAGCAAUUCUAUGUAACAAUCUAACUUGCAGUUUUGGCGUUCUUAUCAGGGUGCUUCCACACUGUAUGGUCCACACACACUGAGUGCAUACAUUCAAGAGUUCAAGAAGCUAGCCAAAGCUCUAAUCAGUGACCAACUUGUAGAACCAGGUCCACAACCACCAGAUCUCCUGAACCAACAAAUAAGCUUACUAACACCGGUUGUGGUGGAUGGUACCCCUAUUGGUGUAAACUUCGGAGAUGUCAUCGCCAACGUACCGAAGAACGCAACCUUCAAGAAAGGUGAUAAGGUCACGGUUACUUUCUGGUCCGCGUGCCCUCGUAAUGACCUUAUGACUGAAGGCACAUUUGCCCUCGUGGAGUUUCUCCGAGGAAAGGAUACUUGGGUUCCUGCAUACGAUGAUGAUGAUUUCAGUCUGCGUUUUAUAUGGUCAAGGCCGUCGAAACUCAGUUUACGCAGCAAAGCCACCUUAGAAUGGCGAAUCCCACUAGAUGCAACUCCUGGUGUAUACAGAUUAAAACAUUUUGGUGCUGCAAAGAGCUUGUUAGGUUCAAUUCGUCAUUUUACAGGGUCAUCAAGUGCAUUUGUAGUAACAUAAUAAAGGGGCAUUGUAGUUUACAAUUAUCACUAUACUUGUGACUUGUUGGAUUGAACUCUAGCAGAAUACACUAAAUGAAGGAUCAUGAUUGUGAAAUCGGUUACAUUCUAUUAAUAUUAUUACAUCACUUAUUUGUGUCAUGAAAACCUAACAAACAUAGAUUUGUUGAUUACUUACUAAACCUAUGAUUAUUGGUUAUAAAAUGAUUUUUUUUACAUAACAAUGACAAAAAUAUUUAAAAGGGAUGUUUAAAUUGAUGCACUCCUAAUUUAGACUUUGUAGCUUAAGUGGUCAAGCUAACUCUAAUAUAGUCUAUGGUUAAUUUAAAAAAUAAAAUAAAUUGAAUCAUGGCAUAGUUUUAAUAGAGUUAUAGUAUAAGGUUUUCUCUUUCCACUUGUAGGAAUGUAUGAAUAGUGAACAUAUUAGCUUCUAGGCUUAUAUGAAUUAAAUAAAGUAAUAAUAUGUUAGUCUAGUCAUAUAAAGUCCACUUGAUCUCUAACGUUGAAAAUUCAAUUUUUGGAAGCAAUAGUUGUCGGAAAGUAGGCCAUGAUAUUAGUUGUAAUACGUUGGUAUAGUAGCAAAAAGAAAAUAUGAAUUAAAUAAAUGAUAAGGUUUGGGAAAAUAAUAACAUUAGGUCUUCUUCUUCAUCUUCACAUUCUUACAAGUGGAAAGAGAAAGAUUCGAAAAUGUCAGUGCAAGAGUAUCUUGACAAAUACAUGCUUUCUCGAAAGCUCGAAGACGCCGUCAAUGCCGCCGUUAGAGCCAAAACCCCCGAUCCCGUUCUCUUCAUUGUAAUUCAUUUCUUCUUUUUCUUAUUCAUUAUCUCUCAAUUUCAUUCAUUCUCAUUAUUAAUAAUUGAUUAUUAAUUAUUAUUAUGAUUAUUAGUCGAAUCACAUGAGAAAAUCAGUGCAAUCGGUGAUCACAAAGAUAAAAGCUCGUCAGAUCCUUGAUAGCAGAGGAAUUCCAACAGUGGAAGUUGAUCUAUUCACUAACAAAGGUUUAUUCCGAGCUUCAGUUCCCUCCGGCAACUCAACCGCAAUGUACGAAGCCCUAGAAUUGCGCGACGGAGACAAAGGAGUAUAUCUAGGUAACGGUGUAGCUAGAGCUGUUAGAAUAAUAAAUGAUAAAAUAUCUGAGGCACUUGUUGGUAUGGAUCCAACGCUACAAUCUCAGAUUGAUCAGGCUAUGAUAGACCUUGAUAAGACUGAGAAGAAGGGUGAACUUGGUGCUAAUGCUAUAUUGGCUGUUUCUAUUGCUGCUGCUAAAGCUGGUGCUGCUGAAAAAGAGAUUCCACUUUACAAGCACAUUGCUGACCUAUCUGGAAAACCUACACCAAUGCUUCCUGUUCCUGCCUUUACUGUUAUAAGCGGUGGUAAACAUGCUGGCAAUAAUCUUGCCAUUCAGGUAGACUUUCUCUUGCACUUUCAUUUCUUAGACAUGCUCAUUAUUGAUAAGGAAGGGAUACUCACAUCACAUCUAGAGACUGGAUAUACCUCUUUAUGUUUCGUUAUCUAAUUGAUGCCUUAACCUCGCAAAAUUUCCAAAGGCGCAUGUCCUAAGUGUUUGUAUAGAAUUUUAAAGAACAUUUGCUUUGCUAUUUUUUAGAGUAAUUUAUCUUGUUAAUUUUCAAUGACAAUCAACCUAUAUAAAAAGAACAUUUAGAAUCAAUGUCAAUUAAAGGAACUACCAUCUAGUUUUACAUCGUUGUGUGACUACUCUUUAGUGUAAGAAAUAUGUUUGGAAUUCUUGAGGAACAUAGAGUGUUCCUUCCACUUUGGCAAGUGUAAAGAGGACAAACAUAUGUCAGUGAGCAGUUUUUUUGUUGAUUGGUUGGAGCAAAAGGCUUGUGUUUUCAACUACACUUCUAUGCCUUCACAUUACAUGAUAGGAUUGUGUUUAUUGCCUCCUUUUGAGACUUAGCUCGUGGUUAUUUUUGCUUUAUAAGGGAAUAUAUUCACAAUUAACUUUUUGCAUUUUUGUGCCUCUUUGGCUCUCUUUCUUAUCAACAUAUUGGCAAGGGCAAAUAUAUGGACUUCUCCUUGCCUUUAAAUUUGAUUUGGAAUAGGGUCGUGUUUCUUGCCUCUAAAGAAACUUAAGAACAAUGAAGUUAAAAUGGAAAUGAACGUGGAAUUGUUUACAUUUUAUGUUGAAUUAAUUGUAAAAUAACUUGGCCCCUUAGACUUUCUUUGCAACCAACAUCUAUACAAUUAUUUGUUGUUUAACUUUGGCAGUUGGAUUGUUGUUUUGAUUUUGUUCUUUAUCUGGCCUAUUAACAUCAAUAGACCAUGUUAUAGUUUCUCUUCAAUAUAUACAUUUAUGUUUUUUCCAUGCUGCUUCAUAAUGAUUUUUAUUCUUCCAUGCCUGAAAGCUAUUUUACAUAAUUCCUAUCAGGAAAUCAUGAUUCUCCCAACUGGAGCUAGCAGAUUUGAGGAAGCACUACAGAUGGGCUCUGAGACCUAUCAUCACUUAAAGGUGAUUUUGCUUAUUUUAUCUCUUUUAACCUAUUAUUUUCAUUUUCUAUAUUGAGAUUUUUUGUCAUAAUCUUUGGCUCAUUAUUAUGUUCCUAUGUUAGAAACAUAUCAAUUAUCAAGUUUAGUUGCUUUGUUGUUUAGUUGCCAUAUCAUGAUUUAGAUUAUAUGCUAUUACUACUAUCGUCUUUAAGUUUUGUUGCUACUUAGAUGCCUAGUGCCUAAAGCCUUGAUGAUGGAGUUUAAUCGACCCAGCAAUCCAAUUUGUUGUUUCUCUGCAUAUAUAUGUGUGUGUAUUUUUCUUCAGUGUUUGAGUUAAGAAUCCUAGCAGCCACUUGCAGAUGUCAUAUUUAAGCUGAUCUAUUUGUUUGUUGAUGAUAAAAAGGCAGGCUGUUAUUACAGAGAAGUAUGGUGCACAUGACUGUAAUGUUGGUGAAGAUGGUGGGUUUGCUCCCAAUGUCUCCAGGCAAGUUUUUUAUGUUAUGGAUUUACUGGAUUUGUACAGCUUUCGAAAAUUCUUCUUUGCCAUUAAAUGAAUAGUGUAAAUAGGAAAAGUGUUCCUUGCAGAAAAUGGAAAGAAAUGAGAAUAUCUCCAAAACUGCUCUGUACAAUAUCUGUUACUAUAAUGAUAAUCACAGACCUGAAUGAAGCUUUUUGACCUCCCUCUGCCUCUAGAAAUUGGGCUAAUCUCCAUUUGAUAUACUCUCCUCAUUGGGGCUUCUAACGGUCUCCUCCAAAGAUGUCUAGACCACCUAAGGCGCGACUCAACUAUAGUUCUAAACCUCUAAUAUCAAACAUUUUUUUAUUUUUAUAUAUGAUCCAUUAGUUUUAAUGACCCAUGCUUAUGUAAUGUUGUAAUACUACAUUUUCUCCAUUCCAAAAUGAUUACCUUUUGAGGUGUUUAGAUAUUAUAUCUGGUUCUUAGCUGACUUUAUAUAUGUUUCUUCACUCUUCAGUUUUAGAGAAGCCCUGGAUCUUGUACAGGAGGCCAUAAGCAGAACUGGACAUGAUGAGAAAAUAAAGAUAGCACUUGAUAUUGCUGCUACUAAUUUUUGCAUAGGUAAUGAUAAUUUUGUAUCCCUUAUGUACUGUCAAUCUUGUUUGUGCUAUGAAAAGGCAAUCUUGUUUGUUAAUAGUACUUAAAAUGAUUCUAAAACUACCAAUAAUUACCAGUUAUGGUGUUAUCUCUUCCCUUGGAAUUGAAUCCUUACAUUUAUUUUGGGUUUUCAUAUUGUUAAAAGUUUAGAGAAAACAAGGGUUUCGAAGAGUAAGUGAUAAAAUGUAAAAGAGAUUGUAGGAUGGAGUGCAAUGUGUAGUGGUUAUGAACUUUAAUCUUCAGAACUUGUUAUUAACUUAUAUCAUGCUUUAUUAUCACUAAACAUUUUUUAUUUUGGAAACAAACUCUCAACUUGUUGGGGUAAGGUCGUGUACAUCUAUCCUCCUCAGACCCUGUUAAUUGGGAGCUUCGUGCAUUGGUCCACCUUUUCUUAAUGUUUUGCUUGAGCGGUUAAUUCUUGUGGAAAGCUAAUGCAAAAUACUAAAUAAUUUCAGUUUUUUUCUUCUUUUCUUCAGUUAAGGAUGGGCUUUUUGUUGCCUCUGCACUUUUAGAGUAUCUUUUGCCUUUGACUACCUUUAACCAGUUUAUGCUAUUUGUAUACAUGCUUUUUCCCUGAUAUAGGUACAAGAUAUGAUUUGGACUUUAAAUCACCUCAAAAGUCAGGACAGAAUUUUAAGUCUGCAGAGGAUAUGAUAGAGUUGUACAAGGAACUAUGUAGUGGUAAAUCAGUUUUUCUUAUCCAAUUCAUAAUUGUUAGAAUAUCUAGAAAUGUCUCAUAAUAUUUUAUCAUAUCUUGAAUUGAUUAGGGCUGAUUUAUUAUGAUAUAUUAGGUAAUUAUGUUAGGAUCAAUUAUUUCAUUAUGGGUAAUUAUGUUAGUAUUCUAUUUGUCUUUUGUUAUUGGCCUAUAAAUAGGACCAACCUUUUGCACUUUUGAAUUACCUCAAUAAUAUCAGAUUAAUAUCAUUAUAUUAUUUUGAUUUUCUAUUCUCUAUAGUCCUCUUCCCUCACCUAAAACCUUCAAAUUCAACAAUAAUGGUGAUACUUGAUAGUAUAAAUUAUUUGGGCAAUACUUCAUGUUUAUUUUGGAACUUUCUUUCUCAAUUGUAGACUACCCAGUUGUAUCAAUACAUGAUCCAUUUGACAAGGAAGACUGGGAACGUAUCAAGCAUUUCUCAGGUCUUGGAAUAUGCCAGGUGUAAUUUAUUUAGCAAUUGAUAUUUCGUUUACUUAAUUUGCAUCUAAUAUCUGUCCUAGUCAAUUGUGCAGCCAACAAGAUAUUUUAAAUUAAAAUAAUACAAACUGGUUAUUAGUUUAUCAAUGGCACAUUUGCAUAUCAUGUAAAAAAUAAAGGUGGAAAAAUGUAAUAUGAAAUCUUUUCUGCCACCUUAUUGAGAUCGAGUACUAGAACGGUUAUUUACAUGUUACCACUGAGAUAUUUAGUUCUUCUCCUGGCUAAUUAUUUGAACUUCUGUUCAUAUGGUUUCCCUUCAAUAAAUGGUUUUGCAGGUAGUUGGAGGUGAUCUCUUGAUGUCAAAUACAAAACGCAUUGAGAGAGCAAUAACUGAGUCUGCAUGUAAUGCCCUUCUUCUUAAGGUUAGUGACUAAUAUUUAAAUGAACUUUCAAGGGGUUCCUUUGCCUAAUGACGAUUUAAUAUUGUCCAGUAAUCUGUUUUAACUUCAACAGUUUUUUAUCUUCAACUCAGUUGUUCAUGGAAGUGAUCCUGUUUCAUAAAUAAGUGAGGGUGUUGGAUAUCCAUACAUUUUGGUAAAGACUACCUUUCACACAAAUACAGUAAUAAAUUACAAAGCUAGUUUAUAUGAAAAGAGAGAGAAAUUAAACAUUAGCUUGCCCGCAGUUUCAUUUUGUCACUUGUCAUAUUAGUUUAUAUAUAAUCCUCCUUUGUACUCAUCAUUUUUCUUGAAGAAAAGAAACAUUAACUAUUAAAGUGUUGAUUUGUCAUUGUAAUGUAGGCCAACCAAGUUGGAACUGUUACAGAGGUUAUUGAAGUGGUGAAACAGGCAAAGGAAGCACAUUGGGGUGUGGUAACUUCUCAUAGAUGUGGAGAAACUGUAGACUCUUUCAUAGCUGAUUUAUCUGUUGGCCUUGCUGCUGGUCAGAUCAAAGCAGGCGCUCCUUGCAGAGGAGAGCGGCUAGAAAAGUACAACCAGGUAUCUUUCUCAUUCUUUUGCUCAUGACGAUUACUGCAAAGUUAUGGCUACUUUAGAUAUAGUUCUCUUCCUAUAAAACAAAGGACCCAAUAUCGAAUAUUACAAUAACCAAGUCCAUGGUGAAGUAAUUUACAUGGAGCUUUCCUUAUUAGCUGUGAGUCAUUGUGGGAAUGAAGUUGAUGUUUGUCUUGUGCUGUUGUACUUGUACAUGUUAUUUUAUGUUUGUCCUGGUAAACUGAAAUGAAGCGUAAUAGUUACAAUCAAAUUUUGUUGUUGUUGUUGCAGUUACUCCGAAUUGAGGAGGAGCUUGGAGAAGAAGCAGUUUAUGCUGGUGAAGAUUGGAAACAAUAAAAGUGAACAAAUUACUGAAACUGACUUUUGAGAUAUGCUUGUCUUCAUUUAAAUUGAUAGUGAGGUUGAAGUUUCUUAAUAUACCAUAUUCACCUACUUCUGAUGUAUUGCCUUAAAUGUUUCUUUCAUUAUUUUGUGAUUUUAGGCUUUAGCAAGUGUUUCAGCUAUAAUCUAUAGUUCAUUCAAGAGUGUGUAUGUGAUAGUGCGGCCAGAAACAAUAAUACUAAUCCAUGACAAGUUAAACGCUAUGAAUCAUAUUUGCUUUGGUGUAAUCAUCAUAGACACAUUGGGAUUGACAUAAACAACUUAGGUACACAUUUGUUGUUCCACAUGUUGUAUCAUUACAUGUGUUAUAAGCUGUGAUUGAUCAGAAAAAUAGUUAAUCAUCAUAGGAGUGGGUCACCAUGGCAACAUAAACACCUACUAAAAGACAAAAUCGGAUAAAUUAUUAUUGUUAUUAUUAUUAAGAUUGAGGAGGUAGAUAAAUAAUGAAUGAAUAAAAGAAAAACAUUUGCAUGAGAGUGAUAUAUGAAGUGUCUGCGAAAGGACAUUGUGAAGAGUGAUAAUUCAACCAAAGUUGCCUCUCUGUCUUUUCCUUCAAUUGAAUGAACGGUGCAAAUUGCUAACUCUUUUUAGAUAAACCAAAUACCUCUUCACUCUUCCCACCAAUAAUUCAUUCCGAAUGCAUCUACCAUAUCAACUAUUCUUUGUCGUUUUACCAAUAACAACAGGAUCUUCAAUCACAUAUACUUUGAUACUUGUGCACCUAAAUUUAUAUAUUAACUUUAUAUACACUUAUUAAUAAUGCAUAACAAUCUUAUUUUUUAUAAAUACAAGUUCAACUUUGUUGCUUUCGAGGCUCAUUAAAUCCGGAGCAAUUUUUAUCAUUAACAUGCUUUGAUUACUACUUUUUGGUUUAAUAUAUAACUAAGUUAUUUAAAUAUGAAGUUAGAGGUUUAAUUAUCACGUGGACGAGGUUGCAUGUCUACAUAAAUUGCGUAUUAUCACGUGGAGAUGACUUAAUAAUAAGAUUAAGUUUGUGAUGAAGAAUGAAAAAUAGUGAGUUAAAAUCUUUGUGUUAAUUGAGUCCUUGGUCUAGUGGCAUUUUUAGAUAGGAAGAUAAUGUAAAGUUAAGGCAUAAGUUUUCAGAAAUUAAAGUAAAAGAGAAAUGUGUACUAUAGAUAUUUGAAAAUGAUUAUAUUAAGUUACCAUUAAUGUAAAAAAAAUUAUCAUCCAACUUAUUUUGUUUUUUUGUAUUACUAAUAAUAUUUAUUCACUUUCUUGGAUAAGAAAUUAUUCUUUUUCAAGGUUUAUGGUUAUCACUCAUAACAAAUAUCGCUCUAAAGAAUUGAAUCUACCGGAUUGUAGUAUUUGAUUGUGAAGAGGGUAUUUUUGAUGAGAUAAUAAUAAUAACAUAACAUGAUUCACAACCACACGCUAUCUCAUUUUCCUCUCUCUCUCUCACUCUCACUCAGUCACAGACAUAAACACUCUCUCUCUCUCUCUAAAUCGUGAUUGAAUUGAAUGGCUUCUAUCGCUACUCUUAAAGUCCCUUCUUCUUCUUCAUCUUCAUCUUCUUCCUUCUUUCUUGGAAGGAAAUCCAACCCAUGCAACUUCCUCUCAUUCUCUGCAUCAAAUCUCUCUGGUGACAAAAUUCCAGUGUGUGCAGGUGCAUCUAGAUCACGCUACACCCGCACCAUUCCUCCUCUCAUUCUCUCUCCAAAGGCUGUUUCCGAUUCCCAGAACUCUCAAACAUGUCUUGAUCCUGAUGCUAGCAGAGUCAGCACUAUUACCUUUUUCAUUUCUAUUUUUAGAUCCUAAUAUUGCAAACCUUCACUUUUUAAUAUCAUAUCUUUUUAUUUUACCUUUUUUAAUAAACAUCAAAUAUGAAUGAGUAUAAAAUCUAUACACUGUUAUAUACGUGCACUCUAUCAUCUGUGGUUCAUUUAGAAUACUUUUUAUUUAUUUUGAAAAAUCAACAAUAAUUAAAUAUUAAUGAUAAAUGAUGUGGAGAAACUGUAGACUCUUUCAUAGCUGAUUUAUCUGUUGGCCUUGCUGCUGGUCAGAUCAAAGCAGGCGCUCCUUGCAGAGGAGAGCGGCUAGAAAAGUACAACCAGGUAUCUUUCUCAUUCUUUUGCUCAUGACGAUUACUGCAAAGUUAUGGCUACUUUAGAUAUAGUUCUCUUCCUAUAAAACAAAGGACCCAAUAUCGAAUAUUACAAUAACCAAGUCCAUGGUGAAGUAAUUUACAUGGAGCUUUCCUUAUUAGCUGUGAGUCAUUGUGGGAAUGAAGUUGAUGUUUGUCUUGUGCUGUUGUACUUGUACAUGUUAUUUUAUGUUUGUCCUGGUAAACUGAAAUGAAGCGUAAUAGUUACAAUCAAAUUUUGUUGUUGUUGUUGCAGUUACUCCGAAUUGAGGAGGAGCUUGGAGAAGAAGCAGUUUAUGCUGGUGAAGAUUGGAAACAAUAAAAGUGAACAAAUUACUGAAACUGACUUUUGAGAUAUGCUUGUCUUCAUUUAAAUUGAUAGUGAGGUUGAAGUUUCUUAAUAUACCAUAUUCACCUACUUCUGAUGUAUUGCCUUAAAUGUUUCUUUCAUUAUUUUGUGAUUUUAGGCUUUAGCAAGUGUUUCAGCUAUAAUCUAUAGUUCAUUCAAGAGUGUGUAUGUGAUAGUGCGGCCAGAAACAAUAAUACUAAUCCAUGACAAGUUAAACGCUAUGAAUCAUAUUUGCUUUGGUGUAAUCAUCAUAGACACAUUGGGAUUGACAUAAACAACUUAGGUACACAUUUGUUGUUCCACAUGUUGUAUCAUUACAUGUGUUAUAAGCUGUGAUUGAUCAGAAAAAUAGUUAAUCAUCAUAGGAGUGGGUCACCAUGGCAACAUAAACACCUACUAAAAGACAAAAUCGGAUAAAUUAUUAUUGUUAUUAUUAUUAAGAUUGAGGAGGUAGAUAAAUAAUGAAUGAAUAAAAGAAAAACAUUUGCAUGAGAGUGAUAUAUGAAGUGUCUGCGAAAGGACAUUGUGAAGAGUGAUAAUUCAACCAAAGUUGCCUCUCUGUCUUUUCCUUCAAUUGAAUGAACGGUGCAAAUUGCUAACUCUUUUUAGAUAAACCAAAUACCUCUUCACUCUUCCCACCAAUAAUUCAUUCCGAAUGCAUCUACCAUAUCAACUAUUCUUUGUCGUUUUACCAAUAACAACAGGAUCUUCAAUCACAUAUACUUUGAUACUUGUGCACCUAAAUUUAUAUAUUAACUUUAUAUACACUUAUUAAUAAUGCAUAACAAUCUUAUUUUUUAUAAAUACAAGUUCAACUUUGUUGCUUUCGAGGCUCAUUAAAUCCGGAGCAAUUUUUAUCAUUAACAUGCUUUGAUUACUACUUUUUGGUUUAAUAUAUAACUAAGUUAUUUAAAUAUGAAGUUAGAGGUUUAAUUAUCACGUGGACGAGGUUGCAUGUCUACAUAAAUUGCGUAUUAUCACGUGGAGAUGACUUAAUAAUAAGAUUAAGUUUGUGAUGAAGAAUGAAAAAUAGUGAGUUAAAAUCUUUGUGUUAAUUGAGUCCUUGGUCUAGUGGCAUUUUUAGAUAGGAAGAUAAUGUAAAGUUAAGGCAUAAGUUUUCAGAAAUUAAAGUAAAAGAGAAAUGUGUACUAUAGAUAUUUGAAAAUGAUUAUAUUAAGUUACCAUUAAUGUAAAAAAAAUUAUCAUCCAACUUAUUUUGUUUUUUUGUAUUACUAAUAAUAUUUAUUCACUUUCUUGGAUAAGAAAUUAUUCUUUUUCAAGGUUUAUGGUUAUCACUCAUAACAAAUAUCGCUCUAAAGAAUUGAAUCUACCGGAUUGUAGUAUUUGAUUGUGAAGAGGGUAUUUUUGAUGAGAUAAUAAUAAUAACAUAACAUGAUUCACAACCACACGCUAUCUCAUUUUCCUCUCUCUCUCUCACUCUCACUCAGUCACAGACAUAAACACUCUCUCUCUCUCUCUAAAUCGUGAUUGAAUUGAAUGGCUUCUAUCGCUACUCUUAAAGUCCCUUCUUCUUCUUCAUCUUCAUCUUCUUCCUUCUUUCUUGGAAGGAAAUCCAACCCAUGCAACUUCCUCUCAUUCUCUGCAUCAAAUCUCUCUGGUGACAAAAUUCCAGUGUGUGCAGGUGCAUCUAGAUCACGCUAC